rnacentral:lncRNA from 1 species
CAGGCCUCUUCCUCCCUCCUGACCCAGUGGAUGCUAUCUUUGGGGUUGCUAGUGAGUGCUGCAGGCGGUUGCUCUUCUUUGCCUGACAACUACAUCCAAGGAUGUUACUGAAUGAGGUCUUUGAACGGUCCUUUUCUCAGUACAUGGUAGCAUUCAUAGCAGCCAUCAGUAAGAAACCAGGGUGCUCAUCAGCUGUGUUCAUUGUAAAGAGGUGUUCAUUCUUUUUGGUUGGCUUUGGAAAGAAAUGGAAACUGGACUGAAAAUUCACAAAGGGUGCUUUAAAAGCCCCUGCCUCCUUGACCACAUCUUCCCUCUUCCCUGCAAACGUGGUCAAACCCAAAGACAGGAACAUCAUACUCCACACCAUCCUGCAGCAGACUUGGCACCUCUGUGUGAUGAAAUCCAAAUGCUGGCUGUGGUUACAGGGCUGAGCAAAACACAGAGCAGAUGAAGAGAUACAGGUCAGUAUGUGCAUCUUCAGCUGUUUGCCAGAAUGACACGGAUCCAGAGGAAUGUUUGAACAUCAUCCAGAAAUUAUCAUUCCCAAAUAUACAUCCACAGAGACAACCCAAGAGAAUACACACCUGGUUUUUACUUAACCAAUUGCAGAAGAG